rnacentral:lncRNA from 1 species
UUUCUUUAUUUCCAGUGUAACAUGUUUGAGUCCAUAAUGUACAAUGAUACAGUCUGAUGAGUAUGAGUUCUCACCAUGAGGAUGAUCUAACUCUAAACCCAGGAUCAGAACACCAUUAUGUGUGGCCAGUCUUAUGACUUUCUACUUUCAAACGUUUGACAGAGAUAUUAGUGUUUGCUCAUCACCUCUGGGCAUGAAUUCUAAAAAUGCAACAAUGUCCCAGAGAACAGCUGAGCUGGUGUUCAUACGCUGGAGAAGAGAGGAAAGAGUUAAAACGUCUGACUGGAUGCUGGAGUCACAGUUUGUUCCUCAGCGUGUUCUGUUAGAGCUUCACUCAGAACAUUCACGUCAAACAUGAGUAAGUUACAGAACGAUUUGACUCCACGAGAGCAGGAGAUGCUGAAGAUCAGACGAAACAGCAGCACCAAAGCAGCAGAACUGGUGAAGAUGGAGAAGAUGCUUCAGGACACCAAGAGUUUGUUUGAGAAGAAGACAGAGAGUGGUUCAGAGAGCAGAGGGUACCAGGAGAACAUGGUGGAGGACCUGGAGGAGAAGGUGCGUUCCAGCAGGCGCUACAGGAGGAACUCGCUGCACCAGACCCAGAUGUUGGAAAGCCAGAUGAAGACGGUGAAGGGGGAGCUGGUGGGAACGUUGGACCACCUCCAGGAGCUGAGGAACGUUCUCCAACGUUCACAGCAGCGUGCAGAGGAACGUAAAGCUGCCAUGGAGAAGCUAGCGGCAGGGCUCACCUUUUGACCUGAUCACCACUUACUCUCGUACACCCAUAAUCACAACAUACUGCAGGUGCUGUGGUUGUUUUUCCUUUUCUUCAGAUUAAAACCAACGAUAGUCACGUUUCAUGCUAGUGUGACCUGACAUUUGAAAUGUUCUGCAGCAUCUAAUGUUCUUUUAUUAAUCUCCUAAAACUCAACCGUUCACCUUCUUCACAAUCUUUUUGUCCCAAAAAAUAUGUUUUUUAUUCUGUGGACCAAUUGUGAUAUUGAUAUGAUGGAAGUGGGGCUAACGGUGGCUAGUGGUUAGCACGUCCACCACACAGCAAGAAGGUCCUGGGUUCCAGAUGAGAAAGUAAUAGAUUACAAGUACUCACGUGACUGUAAUUUUCUUGCUUUUAUGGGUACAUGUGCUUUUUUCAGUAUUUUUCUAAAUCACUAAUUUUACUUUAAAAAUAAGUAAAGUAAUUACAUUUCUACACCCAACUGUUACUAAGUAAAUUAUUAUUUAUGUUUAAAAUGAUCAACGGACAUUGUGAAAAUACAAAAAUAAAAUGACCAGAAAACAAUAAAAUGUAAACGUA